GAUGAACGCUGGCGGCGUGCUUAACACAUGCAAGUCGAACGGUGAAGAGGGAGCUUGCUCCUCUGGAUCAGUGGCGAACGGGUGAGUAACACGUGAGUAACCUGCCCUUGACUCUGGGAUAAGCACUGGAAACGGUGUCUAAUAUCGGAUACGACCUCCGAAGCAUCUUCUGGAAGUGGAAAGAUUUCGGCAAGGAUGGACUCGCGGCCUAUCAGCUAGNGGUGAGGUAACGG
rnacentral:rRNA from 1 species